rnacentral:snRNA from 1 species
AGACUGUGGGUAAUCAGGCCACAAUAUCUGCCACUCUACUGAUUGUUAGCAUUGAUUCAGAGUCUAGCUGGCCAGGCGAGUGGCCCUUUUCUUCCUCGCUGCUCUGUGUGUACCCUUCCUGAAGCUGCAAGCUAAGUGGAAGAGAACGAACUUCCUCCAUUGUGGUGGUUUGAAUAG